AUGAUAUUUUUUGUAUUACUUGGAGAGGAAAGUAUCGCGAUAAAGGAUGGGUCGGAGAUUUGUUUUUGGGAAGAUAUCUGGCUAGGCAAUGCCAGUCUCCCAGAACAAUAUCCAGCCUUAUACAACAUUGUUCGCGAUAAGAAUAAUACUAUUGCACAAGUGCUCAGUUCAUCCCCGCCGAAUAUUUCGUUCAGGCAGGAUUUGAUUGGCCCCUGACUUGUGUCAUAGCAUAAUCUUUUAUCCCGACUAGAUUCGAUUAACCUGACACAAGAUCGGAAUGUGUUUCGCUGGAACCUUACUACAUCAGGGUCCUUCACUGUAGACUCUAUGUAUCAUGCGCUCACACAUUCUGAGGUACCAGUGAGUAAUAACAAGAAAAUUUGGAAGUCCAAGAUUCCACUAAAAGUAAAAAAAUUCAUGUGGUAUCUUUGUGCUAACCAAAGACAAUCUCGCACGGCGCAACUGGCAAGGGAGUAA
rnacentral:rRNA from 1 species